rfam:Trichophyton benhamiae CBS 112371 contig01989.5, whole genome shotgun sequence.
AGACCAGUGACGCAGUGGUUAGCGUGCCGUUCUUAUAUCGUUUCCUGGAAGUGAUAUGACUAACUCCAUUUUGUUAUGCGGAGGUCGUGGGUUCAAAUCCCGCCUGGUCUA